AGGUAGGAAUACCCGCUGAACU
rnacentral:rRNA from 1 species